GGGGGCUCUCUGAAGACUGCUGUCUAAGUACCGUCCAAGGCCAGUCCCUUCCCAAGGGCACGAGAGACAUACUGUGGUAAAAAUGAGCACUUUUUAACCCAAAAAAUGAGUAGUUCACCUAUAACAACCAAAGACUUAACAGAAGGUAAUGAACUAGAACCACAGGGGUGAGAGACAAAAGCAACAAAACCAAAACCCAAAAAACCAGAACAACAUCGACAAAACAUCCCAAGACUGUGUAGUGAUUGUUGAGGGCGCAGAUCUUACUUCCUACCUAUCUGACUCCCCAGAGUCCACAAAAAUCUCACGCUUCUCCUGGAGCUCCCACCUGGAAACACAACGAUACCAAGGAGACGCCAGGCCUUUACUGGUUUUCUAACCAUAGGUUUGAAGUGAUGCUGAAGGAAGAGACCCGAACAUGAGCAACUAGGAGGCCUUGUGGGAGCCUCAGGGCCGCGUGUGAGGAAACACCGGAAGUGAGCAUGAGCAAGCUCUUUCAGGUGGGCGGCGCCAGAGGAGGGGCCCUGCUGGGCAGCCACGUUAGCCGGGAGCGUUCAGCUCAGGGUUUCCGGUGGGGGCUUCCUUUGGCCUCCAGGGCAUCCACUCGAAACUGAGGAGCCCUGGAGUUCUCCACCUGACAGACACACUUGGGCUCUAGUAUUAAAGCUAAAACCCUGAAAGCCACUAAGUGUUGUUUUGGGGCAAACCUCACACAAGUCUGGGACAAGGGAAAACUGCCAAGGUUUAUAUCAGGAGAAACGAGAAUGCCAGUGGGACCUCGUGCAGAAGCUUACCUCCCAAGUCGCACCGUGCCCAUCCCUUGUGGGCCGCCUACCACAGAUCAGUGUGGUGAUCUUGUGCACAGCCCUGAUGAAGACCACAUGCACUUGCUAGUGAAUUCUGCGGUGGGAAGGAAGGUUCUGCAGUCACCUCAGCCCUGA
rnacentral:lncRNA from 1 species